UACGGAGGUCCCAAGCGUUGUUCGGAUUCAUUGGGCGUAAAGGGUGUGUAGGUGGCGCCGUAAGUCGGGUGUGAAAUUUCGGAGCUUAACUCCGAACCUGCAUUCGAUACUGCGGUGCUUGAGGACUGGAGAGGAGACUGGAAUUCAUGGUGUAGCAGUGAAAUGCGUAGAGAUCAUGAGGAAGACCAGUGGCGAAGGCGGGUCUCUGGACAGUACCUGACGCUGAGACACGAAGGCCAGGGGAGCAAACGGG
rnacentral:rRNA from 1 species